GACGAACGCUGGCGGCGUGCUUAACACAUGCAAGUCGAACGGUAAGGCCCUUCGGGGUACACGAGUGGCGAACGGGUGAGUAACACGUGGGUGAUCUGCCCUGCACUUCGGGAUAAGCCUGGGAAACUGGGUCUAAUACCGGAUAGGACUCCGGACUGCAUGGUCUGGGGUGGAAAGCUUUUGCGGUGUGGGAUGGGCCCGCGGCCUAUCAGCUUGUUGGUGGGGUGAUGGCCUACCAAGGCGACGACGGGUAGCCGGCCUGAGAGGGUGACCGGCCACGCUGGGACUGAGUUACGGCCCAGACUCCUACGGGAGGCAGCAGUGGGGAAUAUUGCACAAUGGGCGCAAGCCUGAUGCGGCGACGCCGCGUGAGGGAUGACGGCCUUCGGGUUGUAAACCUCUUUCAGUAGGGACGAAGCGCAAGUGACGGUACCUACAGAAGAAGGACCGGCCAACUACGUGCCAGCCGCCGCGGUAA
rnacentral:rRNA from 1 species